AUCCAGCUGACGAGUCGGAAAUAGGAUGAAAUCGGCGUCCUGGAU
rnacentral:hammerhead_ribozyme from 1 species